rfam:Sporolactobacillus laevolacticus DSM 442 Contig001, whole genome shotgun sequence.
GUCCCAGUAGCUCAGCUGGAUAGAGCAACGGCCUUCUAAGCCGUGGGUCAUGGGUUCGAAUCCCUUCUGGGACA